CCUACGGGAGGCAGCAGUGAGGAAUAUUGGUCAAUGGGCGCGAGCCUGAACCGGCCAAGUAGCGUGAAGGAUGACUGCCCUACGGGUUGUAAACUUCGUUUAUAAAGGAAUAAAGUGAGGCACGUGUGCCUUUUUGUAUGUACUUUAUGAAUAAGGAUCGGCUAACUCCGUGCCAGCAGCCGCGGUAAUACGGAGGAUCCGAGCGUUAUCCGGAUUUAUUGGGUUUAAAGGGAGCGUAGAUGGGUUGUUAAGUCCGUUGUGAAAGUUUGCGGCUCCACCGUAAAAUUGCAAUUGUUACGGGCAGCCUUGCUUACAGUUGAGGUCGGCGGAAUUCGUGGUGUAGCGGU
rnacentral:rRNA from 1 species